UCAAUGGAAGUAUGUUACCAGCUGCCGGUGCUGCCCCUGGACAGGCCGGUCCCCCAGCACGUCCUCAGUCGCCGAGGAGCCAUCAGCUUCAGCUCCAGCUCCGCGCUCUUCGGCUGCCCCAAUCCCCGGCAGCUCUCACAGAGGCGUGGAGCUAUUUCCUAUGACAGUUCUGAUCAGACUGCAUUGUACAUUCGUAUGCUAGGAGAUGUCCGUGUAAGGAGUCGAGCAGGAUUCGAAUCAGAAAGGAGAGGUUCUCAUCCAUAUAUUGAUUUUCGUAUUUUUCACGCUCAAUCUGAAAUUGAAGUUUCUGUGUCUGCAAGGAAUAUCAGAAGGUUACUAAGCUUCCAGCGAUACCUGAGAUCUUCACGCUUUUUUCGUGGUACUACUGUUUCAAAUUCCCUAAACAUUUUAGAUGAUGAUUAUAAUGGACAAGCCAAGUGUAUGCUGGGAAAAGUUGGAAAUUGGAAUUUUGAUAUCUUUCUAUUUGAUAGACUAACAAAUGGAAAUAGUCUAGUAAGUUUAACCUUUCAUUUAUUUAGUCUUCAUGGAUUAAUUGAGUACUUCCAUUUAGAUAUGAUGAAACUUCGUAGAUUUUUAGGGUCUUUUUUCUUUGCUGCAGUUAUGAUUCAAGAAGAUUACCACAGUCAAAACCCUUACCACAACGCAGUCCACGCUGCGGAUGUCACCCAGGCCAUGCACUGUUACUUAAAAGAGCCUAAGCUUGCCAGUUCUGUAACUCCUUGGGAUGUCUUGCUGAGCUUAAUUGCAGCUGCCACUCAUGAUCUGGACCAUCCAGGGGUUAAUCAACCUUUCCUUAUUAAAACUAACCAUUACUUGGCAACUUUAUACAAGAAUACCUCAGUACUGGAAAAUCACCACUGGAGAUCUGCAGUGGGAUUAUUGAGAGAAUCCGGUUUAUUCUCACACAUGCCAUUAGAGAGCAGGCAACAAAUGGAGACUCAGAUAGGUGCUUUGAUACUAGCCACCGACAUCAGUCGCCAAAAUGAAUAUCUGUCGUUGUUUAGGUCCCAUUUGGAUAGAGGUGACUUACACCUAGAAGAUGCCAGACAUAGGCAUUUGGUCUUACAGAUGGCUUUGAAAUGCGCUGAUAUUUGUAACCCCUGUCGGACCUGGGAGCUAAGCAAGCAGUGGAGUGAAAAAGUGACAGAGGAAUUCUUCCAUCAAGGUGAUAUAGAAAAGAAGUACCGUUUGGGUGUGAGUCCACUGUGUGAUCGUCAGACCGAGUCUGUUGCCAACAUCCAGAUUGGUUUUAUGACUUACCUAGUGGAGCCCUUAUUCACAGAAUGGGCCCGGUUUUCCAACAGCAGGCUAUCCCAGACAAUGCUUGGACACGUGGGGCUGAAUAAAGCCAGCUGGAAGGGACUGCAGAGAGAACAGGCCAGCAGUGAGGACACUGAUGCUGCGUUUGAGGAGUUGAACUCACAGUUAUUACCUCAGGAAAAUCGGUUAUCAUAACCCCCUAUCAGUGGGACAGACUGCCUCCCGGAGGUUUUUAGAAAUGUGAAGUGGGGUCUUGAGGUGAGAGAACUUACUUUGACUGCCAAGGUUUCCAAGUGAAUGAUGCCAGCAUUAUUUAUUUCCAAGAUUUCCUCUGUUGGGUCAAUGGAACCCACUUUUCAGUUGAAACCUGAACAUAUAGCAGCAAUAUAUGCAUUUGGCUUUCACACGAAGCCUCGAAUGCCAGAGCCCAGCAGGGGGAACAAAGGACGUCCUGCCACGUGCCACGUGUUUCAUAGAGCAUUUCUUCGUGGAACCAUGAAGCUCGAACUGAAUCUUUGAGCAGAAAUCUCUUGGAAUUCAACCGGUCGGAUGCAACAUUGUGUGUCUGCACCUUCCACGAGGUUCUCUCCGAGAAAACGGAAAUGUGAAAGGCCCAGCCUCUGCUGCGUCCGGCAAGACUCAGUGUUUACAAAUCAGCUCUGAAGUACUGGUUCUGCAUUUGCCUUGGAGCAUAAUCGUGAAGGAACCACUAAGAAUUUUAAAGAUCAAACUUUCCACUGCAGCUCUUCUCCCCUGGUUUGCCUUUUUUUCUUCUUUGGAUGCCACCAGAGCCUCCCGUUUGCUGUAGUUUUAUUUUUGCACUGGAAACUGUGCGUUUAUCAUAGAGUGCCGCCAAGCUUUCACUCCACUGCUGUUUGGCAAUGCAAUUUUUUUAACUAUUUGUUUUUAAUUCGGGGCGGGAGGGGAAGAACACCAGUGUCCUAGCUGUAUUAUGAUUCUGCAGUGAAGACAUUGCAUGUUGUUUUCACUACUGUACACUUGACCUGCACAUGCAAGAAAAGGUGGAAUGUUUAAAACACCAUACUCAGCUCAGGGUAUUUGCCAAUCUGAAAUAAAGUGGGAUGGGGAAGUGUGUCCUUCAGAGCAAGGUACUAAAGUCCCUUUCGCUGCCGUGAGUGAGAGGCAGAUCUUCUUGGGAAGCCAAAUUAUGAUCACCCGGUUACUUGGUGAGCAUGGAUUCUGAGCAUGAGAAGCAAGUUGUCUCAUGCCUCCAUCUCCCUGCAGAUAGAUACUCAUGUUUAUGGACCAGGGUACCGUCUUCCCUUGGAUGAUGCUAGAGAUUCGCCGCCAGUAGCUGCUGCUUCACAUCGGCUUCUCAUUGGCGCUCCAAGUAGAUGUGCCAGUACUGCAGCCUUGUCUCAUCUGAGCCUGCCUGGGCUCCAUCUCCCUGUGUAUGAUUGCUUGCUUCUCUUAUCCAUGAUGUUUCUUAUUGUUUGAUAUCAAGGGACUGUCUUAUUUCCAUUCUCAGGGGGGAGACGCCUCAGUGUUGCUCCCACUUCCUGCCUACACAUACAAUAAACUUAUUGUUCUUUGUUACAUAUAUGAAGGAAUCACAGUCUAUAGCUCUGUAUUUUAAAUGACCUAUAUUCCUUGAAAUAUUAAUUUUAAAACAUUAAUUUUCUUUAAAAAUUGAGUAGUUCAGUAAUUUAUAUCACAUUUAAAAUAAGUAAUAUGGAAAAAUUCACAUGAAUUUUUAAGAUAAAACAGGAGACUUCGAAGAAUUGUUGAGCAUGUAGCAGCCCAUUGGGGCUCGAGGCCCAACACUUAGUUGUGGGGGGCAUCUUGUCUGCUUGGGGUAAAGGUCCUCAAAGAGAAAGUUUUGGCAAGCCUUAGCCUAGUGAAAAAAAUUCUGGUUUCCGGUCAGUAGUUGAACUCUGUAAAUGUGAUGAUUCAUAAUGAUUCUCUGUAUAAGUAAAUAUUUAUAAAAUAAGUAAAUAUUUUAUGUCCUUUGCAAAUCUGGGAAAUAUAUUUGUACCUGACAUACAGGCUAGAGGUGCUAGUAAUUCUUCGAAGAGUCCUAUGGGUCUCUUUUUCCAAAGUGAUUUCUUGGCUCUUAAAACUUUCAAUUUUCUUAAAACUUUAAAGCUUUCACCUCAGAUGUUUACAAUGUUUUCAUGUGUACUUUUAUAAAUGUAUAAAUAUUUUGUUUAAAUGUCUUCCCAAUCAGCAUCUUCUGCUUGGGGAAAUAUACAAUGACCGAUAGCUACUCUGCAGUGAUGCUUUUAAGGAAAUGUGCACAUUAAUCACCAUAGCAUCAGCAUCCAUUGGAAGCGUAAGAUCGUAUAGAUACAUAUGAGACUUGCUCUGAGCCAGUCCUUGCCAGCUAAGGAUCUGCAGACAGCCUGUCUUGUGGAAGGCCCCCAAGGGUCCAUGGUCUGUAGGUGGAAUGACCAGACGUGAGGGUGAGCUGAUGGGGGAGGGGCACACAGCAGGCCGCCUCCAUCUUGUCCGUCAUGCUCACAAUAGGGCUGGUGCAAAUUGGGCCGUCAGUAAAUGUUUGUUGAACAUGUAACUUGGUGUUUUAAUUGUGUGUUUCCUUUUUAGCUAUCAGUCUAUCAUUAAGAGAAACUAUACUGAAACUAGUUUGUCUGUGCUGAAGUUAUGUGGUAAGCAAUAUCCAAGUUCCGGUUGUGUGCAGAGCACUGCGCUGGAUGUAAUAAAGGUAUUAAAAAUUA